rnacentral:lncRNA from 10 species
UACUGUACCCUCCCGGCAGCCUCCGGCAGAACACGCAGCAGCAGCAGCAGUUAGCGCUGAUGCAACUAUCGUUGCUGUUGCCACCGCCUCCCCACUGACGGGGCGUGCACCUGGGGGGUACUUGCAGUUUCCAGGGGCAACAAGCAUCUCUCUACCACCCUCUCCUGCGCCCCUGAGAGAGGCUGGCUCCAAGCUUGAUAUAGAAGACUAUCAUAUGAACCAGAAAGGGUAACUGAAACCAAAGAAAUGACUCCAGUAUCAAGCUAAAGACAUGCCUUAAAGGAUGAGGAGGAGCAGAAAUCUUACCAGCAAGGCAAGAAAGAAGCCGUACGUGAACAGCCUCUGCUUUAGGCCCAGAAGGAAAAGAAGCUUACAGGAGACAAUCAGUCUUACACUCUUCCAUGGUCACAAACAAGAGGUCCCUGGAUCUACAGUAUCUAGGCCCACAUGCAAUAUGACUUUGCAACUCAUCCCAUCAGAGGAUGGAAACUAUUUCUUCACCCCCUUGAACCUGGGCUGGCUUUGUAAUUUGUUUUGGCCAAUAGAAUGUGGUGGAAGUGAUGGUGUUACCAGAAAGAGUUCCCAAUCCAGACUCGUGCGAGAAAGAAUUUGAGAAAUGAAAGAACCAGAGCAUUAUAGCAGAACGAAUCCUGGAAUGGGAAUGGAAUGCCUGGAUUUGUGGCACAGUUGGGAAGCGUCCUGGCCAUGCCAUGUUAAAGCUGUCUCCAAGGCAGUGAUUCUUACCCUUGGCUACACAUUGGAGUCAUUUGGGAAGCUAGAAAAAAAAAAUGCCCAGGACCUGGGCAAGACGGCUGAAUAAGAACAGCUCUGGUCUGCAGUUCCUAGCAAGAUCAACGCAGAAGGGAAGCUGGCAGCCUGGGCUCUUGGAGAUUGUAUCUGGUGCCGGAGAGGACUGGCUCCCACACUCAGUGAGGGAGGAAUUUUACUGACCCAGCAUCCAGAUGAACUUUGGUGAGGAGAGGAGGUGAGGAACUCAAAUUCCCGACUUCAGGUGAUCCGCCCGACUUGACCUCCCAAAUCAUGAACUGGCAGCCAUGUGGAAAGAAGACUAGACUGCGAAUCACUUAGGAUCCCACCCUCGGUUUAGUCUAGAAUACUCUGCGAAUCAGCUUUUUGGCCCUAGGUCCCAGGUAGGAAAGAGACAAAUGGAAGCAAAAUAGCAAAAUGGUGAAGAGGAGGGUUCUAGAGGCAGAGAGCCCUGCAGUCCUGAGUCCUGAGUCCACCGUUUAACAGAGUGACUUUGCUCAGCCUGUGGAUUAUAAUGAAACUUGCCUGUAAGUUAUAGGAUCCAGUUUUUUAGGUGGUAGCAACAUGCUCAAGGAAGAUGCAGCCCCUUCCUCCAGCCUGAGAGAAUAAAGCAUCAUUGGCUUAUGCCAACCAUGGCAAUCCCAUUCCCCUUUUCUCAUGAUUGAUUUGGGAAUGGGCAAGUGACCCAGUUCUAACCAAUGAGACGAAAGAAAAAGUCUAUUGGUCAGCUUAUCUCAGAAGAUUUUUGUUUCCUGCUAUAAAGAGAAACAGUAAGUUCCUUCCUGCCUGACUUAAAUGCAAUUGUGUGCAAACAUGUUACUUGGAGCUACAGCAACGAUUCUGUGACCAUGAGGCAAUAAGCCAAGGACAAAGGAUAGAAUAGUGAAAAGACAGAGUAUUGGAUUUUUUUUAUGAUAUCAUUGAACUGCUGGACCAAUGUGGAACCAUCUACUUUUAGUCUUUCAUGAUUUGUGAGAUGAUUAAACAUUUCUUUUUUUUAGCCAUUAUUUCUUUUCUGUUACUUGCAACUGAAGACAUCCUACAUAAUACAAACACUAUCCAACUUGGAUUGUAAUUUAUCUAUUUUCAGAUCUGUGUGUUCUGUCUUACUGAUUUUUGUAUUCUUAGCACUGAGUAUAAGGCUGCUACUUAGUAAGACUUCAAUAAAUGACUGUUUAAAAAGGUCUUAGAGGAUUUAAAAAAAAUUCUGAAGUUGCUGAAAUAUGAAGACCAGGAACCAAUUUCAGGUUCUAUAAAUUUCUCGCUUCCUUCACUUCUGGAGUAGUCUUCAUUUCUGUCUGAUUCUACCUUUACUAAAAUGAAUGAAUGAUUGAGAAAUACGAAAAAUGGCUGGUAUAGUGGCUACUGCUGAGAAGUAUCUCUUGGAAAUUCCCGGAAAUUCCAUCAGUCACAUUCAGACCUAACUCUCUGAUGAUCAAUGUUUCUGAACUCAAACCAGUGUACAUAAGCAGUGGACUAUUUAAAGUGGUAUUAGCCUAGAAUAUCUAGGACCCAUGUUUUAUGCAUUCAGUAAGCGUUUGUUUAAUGUCUGUUAUCUACCAGGCACAUUAUUAUGCAUUGGGCAUAUAGAGAUGACCAACCACACGGCCUCAAUCCUUGAAAAGCUUACAGUAACCAAAUAGGGUUAACGGCCUAAAGAGAGGUAAUUACAAGUCUUACACUCAGUCUUCUUAGCAUAGUAUGGUGCUACCUCUGAGUUAAUUAAGAUAACAAAAUUCCUAGAUAUAUAUCUUUGAUGAAACGGUUUCCAUGAAAACUUUCCAAGUUUGGUCCCUCCCCGGCUGAGUUCAUUUUGGAAGGUGACUUUCUGCUCUCAUCACCUAAGGUCCUUAACACGUAUCCUGUGUUCUCCGGAGGCACCCCUUGCCCAGAGUGUGCCCUCUGCAUGGUUCCCCCAGAACACCUAUUUCAAAGGAAAAGAAGUUGGAUCAUUCAGUGAAGAUUUGGGGGGCCACUUUUCUACGUGGGAGGAUUAUGAGUAUUACCUUCCUCCCCUAUGUAUUAGUAAAUAUAAAGAAAACAUAAAUUAACCCCCUUUCUGGCUGGGCACGGUGGCUCACGCCUGUCAUCCCGCACUAUGGGAAUCCGAAGUGGGCGGAUCACUUGAGGUCAGCAGUUUGAGACCAGCCUGGCCAACAUGGCAAAACCCCGUCUCUACUAAAAUAUAAAAAUUAGCCAGAUGUGGUUGCACACAUCUCUAGUCCCAGCUACUCGGGAGGCUGAGGCACAAGAACUGCUUGAGCCUGGGAGCAAGGGUUGCAGUGAGCUGAGAUUGUGCCAUUGCACUCCAGCCUGGGUGACAGAGCAAGACUCUGUCUC